CACGUAGGGCGCGAGCGUUGUCCGGAAUUAUUGGGCGUAAAGAGCUCGUAGGCGGUUCGGCAAGUCGGAUGUGAAAUCUCCACGCUUAACGUGGAGGGGCCAUUCGAAACUGCUGUGACUCGAGUCCGGUAGGGGAGUGUGGAAUUCCCGGUGUAGCGGUGAAAUGCGCAGAUAUCGGGAGGAACACCAGUGGCGAAGGCGGGUCUCUGGACAGUUCCUGACACUGAGGCACGAAGGCCAGGGGAGCAAACGGG
rnacentral:rRNA from 1 species